CACCGACAUCUUGUCUCUCCCUCUCUCUAUUACCACCGACGAUCUUCUUUCUUUAAUCAUCAAUCAGACCAACUAAGAUCUUGUCUUUCCCUCUCUCUAUUACCACCGACGAUCUUGUCUCACCCUCUCUCUAUUACCACCUUUCGAUCUUCUCUCUUUAUUCAUCAAUCUGACCACCGACGAUCUUGUUUCUUUAUUCCGACCACAGACAGAUCUUGUUUCUCUAUUAUAAGAUCCCGAUUCAGAUGUGACGAAUCCGAUGUUUCUUCCGAUUAUCUUAGUGAAGCUGAAGAAUAUGGAGGCUCGCCCUGUGGAUGAUGUGUUUAAGUACUUUUGGGAUCGCAGAGCUGAUCUCACCAAGACUUUCAUUUUAUUCCGUUGGGUUUUAUUGAUUCCUGAGAUCAUAAAGUUCACACCUUUCUUCAGAAGAAGAAAAAGAGAUCGUGUUUGUUUAAGAUGUUUUGUUGGAGAAGAACUUCAAAUCUUUAGCUGGAAAGGGAUUUUAACAGAUCGCAAACAUCUAUUGAGAAUUGGGUAAUCUCGAUUCCUUGGUAGCUCUUUUUGAUUUUUUAAUUUUUUUAAUUAUUAUGAUAUUUGUGUAGUCAUGUCUCUUUCUUAUACUUUUUUCUCCUCGUUGCUUUGUUCAUCAGGUCCGUACU